ACUCAAAUGAAUUGACGGGGGAGCGCACAACCGGUGGAGCAUGUUGUUUAAUUCGAUACGAAGCGAAAAACCUUACCCAGAUUUGACAUGUACCUGCACGGUUAUGGAAACAUAGCCUUCUUCGAGAGUGGUACACAGGUGAUGCAUGGCUGUCGUCAGCUCGUGUCGUGAGACGUCCGCUUAAGUGCGGUAACGAGCGCAACCCUUAUCCCGUGUUACAUUUCACGGGAGACUGCUCUGGCUCUGCCAGGGAGGAAGGAGAGGACGACGUCAAGUCAGCACGUCCCUUACAUCUGGGGCUACAAACAUCCUACAAUGGAGCCAACAACAGGUUGCGACGGGGUAACCCUGAGCCAAUCCUUAAAUGGCCCCUCAGUUCAGAUUGAGGGCUGAAAUUCGCCCUCAUGAAGCCGGAAUCGGUAGUAAUCGCAAAUCAGCAGGUUGCGGUGAAUACGUUCUCGCUCCUUGUACACACCGCCCGU
rnacentral:rRNA from 1 species